GGUGAGAGCUAUAGUCGUUCGAUGGCUUUUACACAAUUUAUUGUAAGUACAUUUGUAAGUAUAAUUCGUACAAAUUCGAUAAGAAUGGAAAUUUUAUUUGAUUGAAUUUGUUUGGUAAUUGGAUCAGGGCAUAACAGGCUGCUCAAUCAUGUCAUGUCAAAAUUUCAUCGGAUUUUAUUCAAUUUUAUUUACACUCUUGUACACCAGGCUUUUGUGUUACUAUUUACUAGAAAGGAAUCCAAGGAUAGCUAUACAAGUCGAACUUGUUGACUGAAUGUCAGGAUGCGUUGUGGGUGUGAAUGAUAUUUGGUAAACAAGAGAGACAGGUCGACACUCCCCCACAAAGGAGAAGGAACACACACGCAUUUGACUCUACCUGUCACUUUGUUUGCUAUGCCCACGUGUAAUAUAAAGCGUUAUUUAUGCACGAGUGUGUGUAUGGCCCUAGAUCCCCUCCCAAAAAGCCAAAAUAUGGCAGCAACAAACGCUGAGGCAAUAACCUGUCUGACCUGACCCGUUCCGACAGUCUGUCUGACUUUCCGCCUGUUUGCCAGCUGAUGUUCUUGUCAGGUGCUUAAAAGUGUUUGCUAAAUAAUGCAUUUCAAUUAGAGUCCCCACAUACCCCCCGGGGCUAAGCCUGCGGUAACGCUCGUCUUACCCCAAUAAAUCAGUUGAAAUAGAAUUAAAUAAUCAAAUUAAUCGGCACGUGUCUGUGGCACAUUCCCCAGGUCCUGAGUGAUGUGUGGCAGUCAUGCCACAUGAAACACUGAACCACAAAUGCCAGGAUAUAUUUUGGCUUUUAAAGAGAGUGAAAAUUUAAGAGGGAUAAUACCAUAGAAACGUAUACCAUCAGCAUAAUUAUAAACUCGUAAACUUUGGCGAAUUGUGAUUAACGAAAGUUCAACUAUAAAUCAACUUUUUAACUUGGCCAAGAUGAUGCUCGUGGACUUGACAGCUACCGGCUGUCAUGGAAACUUCAUGGCGAAGGGGUUCAGGAAAAGUCGCAGCCAGCAGUUGGGUCAGCGGGCAAAUAUUUGGCAAUCCAAUUGCUGAUAACAACCACCCAGUCAUGUAAAGUCAAGAUGGGCCAUAAACCCAUCGCCCAUUUCCCGGGCUAUCUCGGCUGAAAACUUUCACCAGAUCCAGAAGCCAAAACAAUUGGAGCAGUGCCGGGUACGCGAAUGUGUACUAUGGACUAGUACUAGCACUAAUACUGGUACUGCGUCUGGGUUUAUGGCGCAUUUAUCUCAAUUGCCGGGUCUUGGGACAGCGCCUGUCAUAAUAAACAAUAAAUGCUAACGCCCAAAACGAAACUAAAUACACAAACGCUGUGCCGGGAACUGGGCCAGAAGCUGCAUCACACAAAUCGUUUUUGAUAUCAGAAAGUGGGUCAAAUGUUUUCGUCUUGGACGCGGACACAGACGCUUUCUGCGCCCCUGCCCUUGCCGCACUCUGACACCCAUCAAAUGCACUUAAAUGCAAAAUGUAAUGCUAAUAAAUUAAAUUAGUUGCCACUUA